GCAAACAGGAAGUUAUAAAGCAAACAGGAAGUUGAGGGUUCUUUCUUUAAUCUUCAAGGCUGCCCACAGCAGGCAGCAACAGCAAUUUUUCACUCCUUCAAUCUGGUGAAUAAAUCAAAAGAGUCACUGAUUGGCUGACUUCCCUUCAGGUGCAGCUCCUGCAAUUCAAAGACAAAGCAUGCACAGGUUGGUCUGAUCUCUCUCCUCCACCUCUUGGCUCUUCUGGUCGUAGUUGACGGCGAGCUCCUCCAGCGCCUGCAGCACCUCCUUCACCUCCUCCUUCAGCUGGUUCUCCUGGGAGGGACGU